rnacentral:lncRNA from 1 species
GAAGGUCCAAGGAGACUUAACCCAUUAACCUUUGUUCCUAAUCCACCUUUUUCUAUAACAAGACAUAAGCUAAUACACAACCCUAAAAAAAAGAAGAGGAGAUCCGCCGUUUCUUCUGAUCUGGAAAGAACCAAAAAACCUUGAAGGUUGUCUUCUUCAUGAAGUCAGUAGAAAGGACCAAAAAUAGAACCCCUGCUUUCUCACCAACAAACAACUGUUCAUUUUCUAUACACCCAUCAUCUUCCACCCUCAAAACCAGUCUUUCAACCCAUGAAAAGUGGUCACAUUCAGACAUAAAAUAGUCCCAAAAGUAGUAAAAAAAAUGUUGCUUCAUGCCAUAAAAACGCAGCAGCUGCAGCUUCUUUUCUUCCCCGAAAAUUGACCUCAAACCAUCCCUGAACCACUAGCAAAACCAGCCCGAACCCAGCCACGAAAAUCAGAUCCAAAAACUGCCCCGAAUAAGCUGAAAACGACAAUGAAACAGCCCCCUCGAACCGACAAAAUCAGCCGUAAAACAACUUCCUAAAGCUCGCAAAAUCGGUUACGGAAAGCCAUAGUUUUCAUCACUCUUUAAUCCUCCAAAAAUCUCUAAAAUUCAGCACCUUUAACCUGCAAAAACAGCCACUAAACCACCUUAAAAAUAGUCACAAACAACGCUGGAAAACUCCAACGUCCAGCCACACAAAACCAUCUGCGAACGAGGUCGUCUCGGGUUUGUGUGUCUUCCGUCGAGGUUGCCAUUGAGAUUCACGAGUCCAAAUUGGGUCGAGUUUGCUUCCACCUUUGCUUCGGGGUUGUGUUAUGCUUAUUCAUGAAUAAAAUAUCAAAAGAAAUUUGCUGAAAGUUCGAGGUCCGUCGUGGUCAAGUUUUAAGGCUCGAGUUUGCGGUUUUGGAUUUGUUGUUUGUUUGUAUUGUUGCUGAUUUUCCGUAGAGAUCCGAUGUACAUUCGAUUGGAGACCUGUCAGUAAACAAAUUCCCAAAAAUGUUUUUGCCGCUCUAAGGUCCACUCGUACCCCUUUACUUGAAAUCUCUUAUUCUCGUUAAGUGGUAUUGAACUUGAUUGAUGAAACUUUUGCUUAGUUAUCUUAUUUUAGGUAUUAAUUGAUGCUUUGAAUUUUAGAUUAAUAUUCUGGGUUUAGGGUAAUGCUAAAUAAAAUUGGAUAUUUAGUCCAUGAAUAACUUCUUUGACUCUAUUUUAUUUAUAUAUAUUGUUCGCUAGUAACAUGCAUUAGGCCAAUCACACUUAGGAUUUUUGUUAGUUUAAAGGAAAGAGGUCGUUCCCUUAGUUAUAUUUAUCUGGGGUAUGCCCCGAAGGGUUUGUAUAUAUAUUUUAUCUGGGGUAUGGCUCGAAGUAUUUGUAUUUGAAGGCCGAAGACGGAACAGUUCGAGGAAGCAUAUAAUAGUAUUUUAUUUUUUUCUUUUAUUAGGUGGGGACGACCUCGAGCCCUUUUGUUUGUUUAUUUUUGUGUUUUCUACCUCCAUUGAAUAUUUUAGAAACCAACUUUAUUGAGUACACAACCACACUAGUUGCGGGACUUGGGGAGUGCCUAACACCUUCUUCCUGAAUCAAAUGAACCCCCUUACCCAAAUCUCUGGUGCGGACUUCGUUUUAGAGUCUGAAAUGUUUUAAAAGCAAAAAAUAAAUAUUUAAAAAAAUAAUUGGUGGCCUGGCACACCGAAAUCAAAUGCCAGGUCGCGACUCUGAGUUUAUUUCCUUUUGAAACACAAUUUUUGUCACUUUUCAAUUGAAAAACCCUUUUCAAGCUUUAUUUAAAUCUUUUAUUUACUUAAGAGGGUUUAAGUGGAGUUUUGUGUAAAAAAGGGGUGUGGCAGAAGUGGUUGGUGUUACUCCUUUGGAUGCCAUUGAUCUCAAAAACAAAAAUGGUGAGGUAUUCCGGGUCAAUGAGCAUCGAUUCAAGCAUUAUUUGGGAAAGUUCGAUGAUAGCCACAUGGUGGCACUGAUUCAUUUGAGGUGACUAUGAUGGUAACAUGCGUUGUGCCACGACGUUAAAUUAGGCGCUUCUUGGGAGGCAACCCAUGUCUUUUGUUUUUCCUUAUUUUUCUGUGUAGAAUAGGAUUUUUGGGCUGAUAGUUUGUGAAGUGUUGCAGGGAUAUUGUUGAACCAGUGCAAAGAAAAAUGUAAAAAAAGAACAGUCUCUGACCAGUGCCCACGCGGCCGCACACCAAAACAGGAAAAAUGUGAAAAAUGAACAGUCUCUGACCAGUGCCCACGCGUCCGCACACCAAGAUAGUGCAGUCCGCGUGGGGUUGACAAGUUGAAGGUGCAAAACUCAGAAGAACCUACGCGGCCGCAUACCACUUUAAUGCGGUCUGAGGAGAAGGAAUCAGAAAUGGCCACUUUGUGAAGUUUUCCACACGGACGCAUGCCAAAUCAGUGCGGUCCGCGUGGGUGUGGCCAAAUGCACCAAGCCUAUGAAGUUCCCACGCGACCUCAUGACAAAUAAGUGCGUUCUGCGUGAGCUGCAAUCCUAUGCGGUCCGCAUUCCAUUUUGUGCGGCCGCGCAUGUAGGUGAGAAUUGGGCCCCACGGUUUUCUAUAAAUAGACACCUGGGGCCUCCUUUUACUCUUUUCGCAAACUUUCACCUGAAAGCUCCCAUCUACUGUUCACUCACUCACAAUAUGCAAUUAUCAUCGUUUUUUCAUCAAUUAACUGGUAACACUUCAUCUUCUAGUUCAAUUCUUAGUUUAAUUUUUGUUAAUUUCAUUAAAUUCCAUUAGUGUAACUUCCUCUUUUCUUCUUUUUCUUCUUAGUCGACUGAUAAAAUUAGGAUUUGGGUUAGUUUGUUGACCAAUGGGCAUACUUUUGUUAUUUUCAUUAAAUUCCAUUAGUGUAACUUCUUAUUUUCUUCUUUUUCUUCUUAAUCAACUGAUAAAAUUAGGAUUUGGGUUAGUUUGUUGACCAAUAGGCAUAUAAACUACUGUUAAUAACUGAGUAGGGACACUUGGUCUCUUUAAUGUCAAAUUUUGAACUAUACUGAAUGAAGGAUGCCUACCAGUUAACUUGCCCUACGCGGCCGCACAACUUUUUGUGCAGUCCGAGUGUGCCUUCAUAAGCAAUUUGAGUACCCUUUCGUCGUGGACUGCAUUCACUUUUGUGCGCUCCGCGUGAACCCAAUGCGGCUGCGGUCCAAAACAGUGCAGACCGCGUGGCCUUGGGUUUAGAGAGUUGUCAUUCUUUGAGGUUGAAUUGUGCGGACCGCAUCCACUUUUGUGCGGUCCGCGUCACUGUAGCUAUGCGGCCACGGUCGAAAUUAGUGCGGACCGCAUGGCAAGAUUCAAAGAAGGUGAAAAAAAUGAUACUCAAUCUGUGCGGACCACAUCCAUUUCUGGGCGGUCAGCGUCCAUCCUACGCGGCUGCGAUCCAAAGUAUUGCAGUCCACAUAGGUACUGUCUGAGAAACAUCUAUGAACCAAUUUGGUCAGUGCGGACCGCCGACUUUUCUGUGCGGUCCACGUAAUCCCUGUCUGCAACACAUGUUCUGCAAUUUCUAUUUAAUGUUAUAACUGUGUGUUCUCAUUUUGUGCUUAUAUUAACAAACUCUGAUGUAAUGCUUUGCAGACAAUGGUAAAGAAAAGGGCCGGUAAACAAAUACAAUGUGGGGGAUCGGGUGAACAACUCGGUAGGGGUGGUUCUUCCCGAGGGGUGACUGUGCGGAGAGUGAUAAAACUCACUCCCAAAGAUAAGGAAACAAUAAAGCAGCAAAUAAAGAUCAUUCGGGCAGCCGACAUCGCGGCUUCACAUUCAAGUGGGAGUGAGUACGCACCCUCCCGGGACAUCACUUCCGAGUCCAUCCCCACUCCUGCAUCAAUAGAGGUCCCUGCUCAUGGGGACACUUCUCCGGAGGCUGAAACUGUGGCAACUUCCAGUGCAUCAAUAGAGGUCCACGCUCCUUAGGACUCUUCUCCGGAGGCUACAACCAUGGAAACUUCCAAAAAGCCAGUUAAUGUAGUCUCGAGCUCUUCUGAUGAGUUCAGACUGACGACGGAAAGGGAAGCAGAUACUCCACCUCUCCCCCGGCUUCAAUAUUAGGGGAGAGUGCGGGGUAUGCCGAGGGAGGAGAACCAAAGAUCGGGGGGGUUGACAGAACAAAGAAGCCGGAGGCUUGGGAGGACAUAUUUGUUAGUGAGGUAGCCUUCCACCGGUAUAGGGAAUGGUGGCCAAAGAGAAAGCUGAUUCCGGAGCGGCGUUUCAUUGAUGCCGACUUUCUCCCUCACAACCCUCACGUACAAGCUCAAUUCCAUACGAGGGUAGAAUGUUGUGCGAACCGGGUGGCUCUUCCCUAUGAUAGAUAGCGUUACAACUUUCUUAAGGGUUGAGUCAAUUUUUGAUUUUUUCUUUUUGAUUUUCACAUUUUUGUAGUUAAGGGUACCUCACGCAAGGCUUCAAUUGGGCCUAGCACAUUUGCCUUUGAUCCUAUGGUCAAAGACAUUAAGUUGUGUUUAGGAUGGUGAAAGUUGUGACCUUGAGACUCUUGUGUUGACCAAACAAUCAUCAUAUGGUCGUGUUAGGCCAUUGUGUGCUUAAAUCAUAUCUAAGGUUGUUGUGGGCCCUCGACUCCGUUUUUGGCAAUCCUUGAGUGCGUGUGGUGAUAAUUCAAUGAGUUGAGCGCAAGUACUGUGCCAAUGGCCUAGAACUUGCCCCGAAUGUUUGUUGAGACAAAAUAAUAGGUGGAACUUGACUUGAGAAAUGAUCUUAGGCUCUCCUUGAUCCAAAAGUACAAAAUGAACAAUUCCAUGACCUACCAAUCAAAUGAUCCCUAGGUCACCCCUUUUGAGCCUCGAACCUUAUUCUUUCAUGAAUCAAAUUACAAGCCUAUACCCGUUCUUAAUUAGACCUUAUCUUGGCACCCAAAUCUUCCCUUGAGUAGUGGCAAAUGACUAAGUUUGGGGGGAAAAAGGUAUCAAUGUGGUGGAAAGGCACAAAAGCAAAAAGAAAAAAAAAGGUGAAAAAGAAAAAAAGUCAAAAAGAAAGACAAAAGGAAUGAAAAUCAAAAAGGGAAUCAGAAGGACAACAAAAGUGAAAAAGGUGUGAAAAGUAUACAAAAAGGAAAAAGGUGUUGAGUUGCAAAAGAAAGAGUGAUAUCGCACCUCUUUAGCCCCAAAAGAAGUGAAUUACUCAAUUGAGUCAAGAAAGUGUGCGAAAAUGAAUCAAAUGAAGUGCCUAAGGGAAGAUUGAAACCAUUGAAACAACAUCAUAUCCUACCUUUACCCAAAAGCCUUCACAAUGACUCCGUAAAAGCCCUAUGUGAUCUUGAGUUGAGAGAAGCCUAAAUUAGUGGAUACUUACAUGAAGGGCAAGCAUAUGGUGCUAAAAGCCAGUCUUAGGGCUCUUUCUUUGUAAGAGAUUAGAGAGAGUUCAUUCACCUCAUUUUGCAUGCAAUUAUUCUAAAAGGUGAUUCCGGUCUUAGGGAUGUUUCUUUGUGAGGGAUGAGAUAAAGUUCAUUCACCUCGCUUUGCGUGCAAUUAUUCUAAUAGGUGAGGUGCACUUAGGGAAUGUCGAAGAUACGUGAGUCUAGGUUCCACAAUGACCGAAGUGUUUGAGAAAUGCUCCUUGAUGAGUUGUGUCAACCCUUGAUGCUCCUGUGUCGCAGUUAAUCCACAAGUGUUCCAAGUUUAAAGUCAUUAAUGAUACAUAUGCAUUGAGGGCAAUUGUUAGUCCCAACUGAGGCUCGUUGAGGUUAACCUUAGGAAGAACAGGAAUUACCAGGGUAUUUUUCAUUGAGGGAUAGGUCUUAUUUUUAUUUGUUGAGGAUAAGCAAAGGUUUAAGUUUGGGGGAGUUGAUACCUUUGAAUUAUACAUGUUUUAUACCCUCUAAGAGCUUUGUGCAUAAACUGCUUCAAAUUAGUCUUAAAUUGCUUAUAAAGUGCAUUUGAUUGCAGGUUUGAGCGACGAGAUGAUGAAUAUCACAUAUCAGCUCAAAAGAGGAGUGAAACCUGCCCAACGUUAACAGAUAACCAAAGUGGGAAGGUCACCUGUGCGGACGCACUGUUUUGAUGUGCGGCCACACAGAUUAGUCUGCAAGAAGUCAAAUCAGAAGUGACCUGUGCAGACCAUACUAUUUUGGUGUGCGGCCGCAUAGGAUAGUUCAGAGAGUGGCCAAGAUAGAGGAGAACCCACGCGGACCGCAUCCAUUUCCAUGUGGUCCACACUGACAAAAGACUAAAGUUCAAAAACUCAAGGCAACAGGCCUACGGGGCCGCACACCAAACCAGUGCAGUCCGCUAGGAGAAGUUCAGAGAACCAGCAAAAUUGAGAAAGUCUCUUGUGUGGCCGCAUGCCACUUUCACAUGGUCCGCAUCACUGUAGCUGUGAGCCACUGUGACAUUUCCACGGGGUCCGCGUACAAUGACCUGUGCGGCAGUGUGUCAUUUCUAUGCAGUUUGCAUCCUCAAGCCCAGAAGCCAGAACUGAAGACCACAAGCCCUAUGCGGUCACAUGCCAUUUUUGUGCAUCCGCAACAGAACCUCAGAGGCAUUUUUGUUCGGUUUUUUGUGUAGUAUAAAUAGAACAUAUUAAUGUUAUAGGUCAAGUUUUAUCAUAUUCUGUAGCGGCUGAGCUCGUGACUCUCGUACUUAGCCUAUUUUAGGUGAUUUUCUUGAGUAAUUAGUGUGGAAGCAAGUAAAUUAAUUUUAUAAUUAAUGAUUAUGUCAAUCUCUUCUAU